CCCUUAGAUGUUCUGGGCUGCACGCGCGCUACACUGAAGCUAUCAACACGUUUUCCCUCCCUGAGAAGGGCGGGUAACCUUUUGAAUCAGCGUCGUGGUAGGGAUCGGGGCUUGCAAUUGUUCCCCGUGAACCAGGAAUUCCUAGUAGACGCGAGUCAUAAGCUCGCAUCGAUUAAGUCCCUGCCCUUUGUACACACCGCCCGUCGCUACUACCGAUUGAACGUUUUAGUGAGGCAUUUGGACCGACGCAUCUCAGUUUAACCGCUGGUUUGUGUUGGAAAGACUUCCAAACUUGAGCGUUUAGAGGAAGUAAAAGUCGUAACA
rnacentral:rRNA from 1 species